GGGCCGGUAGCUCAGCCUGGCUUAGAGCACUUGGCUUUUAACCAAGGGGUCGAGGGUUCAAAUCCCUUCCGGCCCG
rnacentral:tRNA from 1 species